CCUACGGGUGGCAGCAGUGGGGAAUAUUGCACAAUGGGCUAAACCCUGAUCCAGCGACGCCGCGUGAGUGAAGAAGUAUCUCGGUACGUUAAGCUCUAUCAGCAGGGAAGCAACUGACGGUACCUGACUAAGAACCCCCGGCUAAAUACGUACCAGCAUCAGCGGUAAUCAGUAGGGGGGAAGCGUUAUCCGGCUUUACUGGGUGUAAAGGGAGCGUAGACGGCAACACAAGUGUGGAGGGAAAUCCCGGGGCUUAACCCCGGAACUGCUUUGGAAACUGUGCGGCGGGAGUGCAGGAGGGGUAAGCGGAAUUCGUGGUGUAGCGGUGAAAUGCGUAGAUAUUAGGAGGAACACCGGUGGCGAAGGCGGCAUACUGGACUGUAACUGACGUUGAGGCUCGAAAGCGUGGGGAGCAAACAGGAUUAGAUACCCUAGUAGUC
rnacentral:rRNA from 1 species